CUGAGCUGCCGAGCCUUCGCACCUGCUGGCUCCUCCACCUGAAUGCCCUUCUCUCUAUCCUCUUCCUGGAAACCCCAGCUGCCUCAGGAUAUGGUUCAGUCAUCACCUCCUUCAUCCAGCCUUCUCUACCUCUUUGUCUUAACAUUGAAAUGGCCAGCGUGUUCUUCUACCUGCCUGCCAGACAUGCAGGCCCAAGGUACCAGGAGGCAGAUGCUGACAGAUGCAUCUCAGUAUGCCCGGCACCUCCACCACACAAGGGCUGUGCUGGUUGCUGUGGGAAUGCUGCAGGGCACAAAACGGAUAAUGCUGGAGGGAGAAGACAGCAAACACAAGACUCAAGAAACUCCAGUAUGUAAGAAGAGGAUAUGCACAAUGGAAGAGGGAAGCCGCCGUGCAGAGUGUCGGGGUGCACUUUUAAAUGGGACAGUCAAAUGAGGAAACUGAGGCUUGGAGUCUCAUUGAGUGACCUACCCAAAAGUUACCCAAGGAGAAAUUGGCUCGCAGAGAUUUGAAUCCUGGUCUCCUGCCUUCCUUUAGAUACUUGGGGUGCUCCCAAGUCUGCAUUUGGAGAAAGGAACA
rnacentral:lncRNA from 1 species